GAGACCGGCGCACGGGUGCGUAACGCGUAUGCAAUCUACCUUUUGCAGAGGGAUAGCCCAGAGAAAUUUGGAUUAAUACCUCAUAGUAUGUGAGAAUGGCAUCAUUUUCACAUUAAAGUCACAACGGCAAAAGAUGAGCAUGCGUCCCAUUAGCUAGUUGGUAAGGUAACGGCUUACCAAGGCAACGAUGGGUAGGGGUCCUGAGAGGGAGAUCCCCCACACUGGUACUGAGACACGGACCAGACUCCUACGGGAGGCAGCAGUGAGGAAUAUUGGACAAUGGGCGCAAGCCUGAUCCAGCCAUGCCGCGUGCAGGAUGACGGUCCUAUGGAUUGUAAACUGCUUUUGUACAGGAAGAAACACUCCCUCGUGAGGGAGCUUGACGGUACUGUAAGAAUAAGGAUCGGCUAACUCCGUGCCAGCAGCCGCGGUAAUACGGAGGAUCCAAGCGUUAUCCGGAAUCAUUGGGUUUAAAGGGUCCGUAGGCGGUUUAGUAAGUCAGUGGUGAAAGCCCAUCGCUCAACGGUGGAACGGCCAUUGAUACUGCUAGACUUGAAUUAUUAGGAAGUAACUAGAAUAUGUAGUGUAGCGGUGAAAUGCUUAGAGAUUACAUGGAAUACCAAUUGCGAAGGCAGGUUACUACUAAUGGAUUGACGCUGAUGGACGAAAGCGUGGGUAGCGAACAGGAUUAGAUACCCUGGUAGUCCACGCCGUAAACGAUGGAUACUAGCUGUUGGGCGCAAGUUCAGUGGCUAAGCGAAAGUGAUAAGUAUCCCACCUGGGGAGUACGUUCGCAAGAAUGAAACUCAAAGGAAUUGACGGGGGCCCGCACAAGCGGUGGAGCAUGUGGUUUAAUUCGAUGAUACGCGAGGAACCUUACCAAGGCUUAAAUGUAGAUUGACCGGUUUGGAAACAGACUUUUCGCAAGACAAUUUACAAGGUGCUGCAUGGUUGUCGUCAGCUCGUGCCGUGAGGUGUCAGGUUAAGUCCUAUAACGAGCGCAACCCCUGUUGUUAGUUGCCAGCGAGUCAUGUCGGGAACUCUAACGAGACUGCCAGUGCAAACUGUGAGGAAGGUGGGGAUGACGUCAAAUCAUCACGGCCCUUACGCCUUGGGCUACACACGUGCUACAAUGGCCGGUACAGAGAGCAGCCACUGGGUGACCAGGAGCGAAUCUACAAAGCCGGUCACAGUUCGGAUCGGAGUCUGCAACUCGACUCCGUGAAGC
rnacentral:rRNA from 1 species